CCUACGGGUGGCAGCAGUGAGGAAUAUUGGUCAAUGGACGAGAGUCUGAACCAGCCAAGUAGCGUGAAGGAUGACUGCCCUAUGGGUUGUAAACUUCUUUUAUAUGGGAAUAAAAUGUUCCACGUGUGGGAUUUUGUAUGUACCAUAUGAAUAAGGAUCGGCUAACUCCGUGCCAGCAGCCGCGGUAAUACGGAGGAUCCGAGCGUUAUCCGGUUUUAUUGGGUUUAAAGGGAGCGUAGGUGGAUUGUUAAGUCAGUUGUGAAAGUUUGCGGCUCAACCGUAAAAUUGCAGUUGAAACUGGCAGUCUUGAGUGCAGUAGAGGUGGGCGGAAUUCGUGGUGUAGCGGUGAAAUGCUUAGAUAUCACGAAGAACUCCGAUUGCGAAGGCAGUUCACUGGACUGCAACUGACACUGAGGCUCGAAAGUGUGGGUAUCAAACAGGAUUAGAUACCCGGGUAGUC
rnacentral:rRNA from 1 species